GAUCCUGGCUCAGGAUGAACGCUGGCGGCGUGCCUAAUACAUGCAAGUAGAACGCUGAAGGAAGGAGCUUGCUCUUUCCGGAUGAGUUGCGAACGGGUGAGUAACGCGUAGGUAACCUGCCUGGUAGCGGGGGAUAACUAUUGGAAACGAUAGCUAAUACCGCAUAACAAUAGAUGUUGCAUCACAACUAUUUGAAAGGGGCAAUUGCUCCACUACCAGAUGGACCUGCGUUGUAUUAG
rnacentral:rRNA from 1 species